rnacentral:rRNA from 1 species
GAUGAACGCUGGCGGCGUGCCUAAUACAUGCAAGUCGAGCGAACAGACGAGGAGCUUGCUCCUCUGACGUUAGCGGCGGACGGGUGAGUAACACGUGGAUAACCUACCUAUAAGACUGGGAUAACUUCGGGAAACCGGAGCUAAUACCGGAUAAUAUAUUGAACCGCAUGGUUCAAUAGUGAAAGACGGUUUUGCUGUCACUUAUAGCUGGAUCCGCGCCGCAUUAGAUAGUUGGUAAGGUAACGGCUUACCAAGGCGACGAUGCGUAAACGACCUGAGAGGGUGAUAGGCCACAUGGGAACGGGGACACGGUCCAGACUCCUACGGGAGGCAGCAGUAGGGAACCUGCCGCAAUGGGCGAAAGCCUGACGGAGCAACGCCGCGUGAGUGAUGAAGGUCUUCGGAUCGUAAAACUCUGUUAUUAGGGAAGAACAAAUGUGUAAGUAACUAUGGACGUCUUGACGGUACCUAAUCAGAAAGCCACGGCUAACUACGUG